UACGAAGGGGGCUAGCGUUGCUCGGAAUCACUGGGCGUAAAGGGUGCGUAGGCGGGUCUUUAAGUCAGGGGUGAAAUCCUGGAGCUCAACUCCAGAACUGCCUUUGAUACUGAGGAUCUUGAGUUCGGGAGAGGUGAGUGGAACUGCGAGUGUAGAGGUGAAAUUCGUAGAUAUUCGCAAUAACACCAGUGGCGAAGGCGGCUCACUGGCCCGAUACUGACGCUGAGGCACGAAAGCGUGGGGAGCAAACAGG
rnacentral:rRNA from 1 species